rnacentral:rRNA from 1 species
AAGGCCGAGAGCUGAUGACGAGUGCUCAUUAGAGCGCGAAGUGGUUGAUGCCAUGCUUCCAAGAAAAGCUCCUAAGCUUCAGAUAACUGGGAACCGUACCCCAAACCGACACAGGUGGUUAGGUAGAGAAUACCAAGGCGCUUGAGAGAACUCGGGUGAAGGAACUAGGCAAAAUGGCACCGUAACUUCGGGAGAAGGUGCGCCGGUGAGGGUGAAGCACUUGCUGCGUAAGCCCACGCCGGUCGAAGAUACCAGGCCGCUGCGACUGUUUAUUAAAAACACAGCACUCUGCAAACACGAAAGUGGACGUAUAGGGUGUGACGCCUGCCCGGUGCCGGAAGGUUAAUUGAUGGGGUUAGCGCAAGCGAAGCUCUUGAUCGAAGCCCCGGUAAACGGCGGCCGUAACUAUAACGGUCCUAAGGUAGCGAAAUUCCUUGUCGGGUAAGUUCCGACCUGCACGAAUGGCGUAACGAUGGCGGCGCUGUCUCCACCCGAGACUCAGUGAAAUUGAAAUCGCUGUGAAGAUGCAGUGUAUCCGCGGCUAGACGGAAAGACCCCGUGAACCUUUACUAUAGCUUUGCACUGGACUUUGAGCUUGCUUGUGUAGGAUAGGUGGGAGGCUUUGAAGUGGGGACGCCAGUUCUCAUGGAGCCAUCCUUGAAAUACCACCCUGGCAACCUUGAGGUUCUAACUCAGGUCCGUUAUCCGGAUCGAGGACAGUGUAUGGUGGGUAGUUUGACUGGGGCGGUCUCCUCCCAAAGAGUAACGGAGGAGUACGAAGGUGCGCUCAGACCGGUCGGAAAUCGGUCGUAGAGUAUAAAGGCAAAAGCGCGCUUGACUGCGAGACACACACGUCGAGCAGGUACGAAAGUAGGUCUUAGUGAUCCGGUGGUUCUGUAUGGAAGGGCCAUCGCUCAACGGAUAAAAGGUACUCCGGGGAUAACAGGCUGAUACCGCCCAAGAGUUCAUAUCGACGGCGGUGUUUGGCACCUCGAUGUCGGCUCAUCACAUCCUGGGGCUGAAGCCGGUCCCAAGGGUAUGGCUGUUCGCCAUUUAAAGUGGUACGCGAGCUGGGUUUAGAACGUCGUGAGACAGUUCGGUCCCUAUCUGCCGUGGACGUUUGAGAUUUGAGAGGGGCUGCUCCUAGUACGAGAGGACCGGAGUGGACGAACCUCUGGUGUUCCGGUUGUCACGCCAGUGGCAUUGCCGGGUAGCUAUGUUCGGAAGAGAUAACCGCUGAAAGCAUCUAAGCGGGAAACUUGCCUCAAGAUGAGAUCUCACUGGAGCCUUGAGCUCCCUGAAGGGCCGUCGAAGACUACGACGUUGAUAGGUUGGGUGUGUAAGCGCUGUGAGGCGUUGAGCUAACCAAUACUAAUUGCCCGUGAGGCUUGACCAU